GAGGAUUUCAGUUCAACACCUGUGGUUUCUUAAUUUUUCCACUUAGUUCCACUACUGCUGUGGAUUUUAUAGUCAAUGUUUAAAGCCAACAGAGUCUGAAACGAUGGAGGAAAUUUACGUCAAUAUGGAACCUGUUGGAAAAACUGCAUCUAAUCACACAGGUUGGAGCAGCUCCAAAGAGAGGCUCUGCCUCCGUGCGGCUGUCUGUUUGGGAAUCCUGAAUGUUUUACUUUUGGCUGAACUCAUCGCCCUCAG